rnacentral:misc_RNA from 1 species
GAUGAAGAACGUAGCGAAAUGCGAUACGUAAUGUGAAUUGCAGAAUUCAGUGAAUCAUCGAGUCUUUGAACGCACAUUGCGCCCCCUGGUAUUCCGGGGGGCAUGCCUGUCCGAGCGUCAUUGCUGCCCUCAAGCACGGCUUGUGUGUUGGGCCCCCGUCCCCCCCUCCCGGGGGACGGGCCCGAAAGGCAGCGGCGGCACCGCGUCCGGUCCUCGAGCGUAUGGGGCUUUGUCACCCGCUCUGUAGGCCCGGCCGGCGCUUGCCGACACAUCAAUCUUUUUUCCAGGUUGACCUCGGAUCAGGUAGGGAUACCCGCUGAACUUAAGCAUAUCAAUAAGCGGAGGA